rnacentral:rRNA from 1 species
UACUCCUACGGGGGGCAGCAGUAGGGAAUCUUCGGCAAUGGACGAAAGUCUGACCGAGCAACGCCGCGUGAGUGAAGAAGGUUUUCGGAUCGUAAAACUCUGUUGGUAGAGAAGAACGUUGGUGAGAGUGGAAAGCUCAUCAAGUGACGGUAACUACCCAGAAAGGGACGGCUAACUACGUGCCAGCAGCCGCGGUAAUACGUAGGUCCCGAGCGGUGUCCGGAUUUAUUGGGCGUAAAGCGAGCUCAGGAGGUUGAUUAAGUCUGGUGUAAAAGGCAGUGGCUCAACCAUUUGAUGCAUUGGAA